rnacentral:rRNA from 1 species
AGGACGAACGCUGGCGGCGUGCCUAACACAUGCAAGUCGAACGGGGAUUUGUUUCGGCAGAAUCCUAGUGGCGAACGGGUGAGUAACGCGUAGGCAACCUGCCCUCCGGCCGGGGACAACACUCCGAAAGGGGUGCUAAUACCGGAUACGAAGUCUGUGCCGCAUGGUACGGAUUUGAAAGAUGGCCUCUAUUUAUAAGCUAUCGCCGGGGGAUGGGCCUGCGUCCGAUUAGCUGGUUGGUGGGGUAACGGCCUACCAAGGCGACGAUCGGUAGCCGGUCUGAGAGGAUGAACGGCCACAUUGGGACUGAGACACGGUCCAGACUCCUACGGGAGGCAGCAGUGGGGAAUCUUCCGCAAUGGGCGAAAGCCUGACGGAGCAACGCCGCGUGAGUGAAGAAAAGGGUUUCGGCUCGUAAAGCUCUGUUGACGGGGACGAACGUGCGAGAUGCGAAUAGUUUCUUGCAAUGACGGUACCCGUCGAGGAAGCCACGGCUAACUACGUGCCAGCCGCAGC